rnacentral:rRNA from 1 species
GUGUUGGGGGUUUCAAUACCCUCAGUGCCGCAGCUAACGCAAGUAGCACUCCGCCUGGGGAGUACGCUCGCAAGAGUGAAACUCAAAGGAAUUGACGGGUUGCCCGCACAAGCGGUGGAGCAUGUGGUUUAAUNCGAACCAACGCGAAGAACCUUACCAGGUCUUGACAUCCCGCUGACCGUCUCAGAGAUCAGGCUUCCCUUCGGGGCAGCGGUGACAGGUGGUGCAUGGUUGUCGACAGCUCGUGUCGUGUGAUGUUGGGUUAAGUGCCGCAACGNGCGCAACCCUUAUCUUUAGUUGCCAGCAUUCAGUUGGGCACUCUAGAGAGACUGCCGUCCACAAGACGGAGGAAGGCCGGGAUGACGUCAAAUCAUCUUGCCCCUUAUGACCUGGGCUACACACGUGCU